rnacentral:rRNA from 1 species
CCUACGGGCGGCAGCAGUGAGGAAUAUUGGUCAAUGGACGAGAGUCUGAACCAGCCAAGUAGCGUGAAGGAUGACUGCCCUAUGGGUUGUAAACUUCUUUUAUAUGGGAAUAAAACGUUCCACGUGUGGGAUUUUGUAUGUACCAUAUGAAUAAGGCUCGGCUAACUCCGUGCCAGCAGCCGCGGUAAUACGGAGGAUCCGAGCGUUAUCCGGAUUUAUUGGGUUUAAAGGGAGCGUAGGUGGAUUGUUAAGUCAGUUGUGAAAGUUUGCGGCUCAACCGUAAAAUUGCAGUUGAAACUGGCAGUCUUGAGUACAGUAGAGGUGGGCGGAAUUCGUGGUGUAGCGGUGAAAUGCUUAGAUAUCACGAAGAACUCCGAUUGCGAAGGCAGUUCACUGGACUGCAACUGACACUGAGGCUCGAAAGUGUGGGUAUCAAACAGGAUUAGAUACCCCGGUAGUC